rnacentral:rRNA from 1 species
CCCGCUGAACUUAAGCAUAUUAAUAAGCGGAGGAAAAGAAAAUAACAAUGAUUCCCCCAGUAAUGGCGAAUGAACAGGGAACAGCUCAAAUUUGAAAUCUGGCCAGGCAACUGGCCCGAAUUGUAGUUUCAAGACUGCGGUACCGACAACGGCUCUGGCUAAAGUCCCUUGGAAAAGGGCAUCAUAGAGGGUGAGAAUCCCGUCAACAGUCAGGGUGCAGUUGCGCUGUGUACCGCUCUCGAAGAGUCGGGUUGUUUGGGAAUGCAGCCCUAAGUAGGUGGUAAAUUUCAUCUAAAGCUAAAUACAGGCAGGAGACCGAUAGCGAACAAGUACCGUGAGGGAAAGAUGAAAAGAACUUUGAAAAGAGAGUUAAAAGUACGUGAAAUUGUUAAAAGGGAAACGAAUAAAGUCAGUAUUGUCGGGCGUCAAUCUCUGUUAUGCAGAGCUCUUGGUGUCAGGCAAGUUAACAUCAGUUGCGUGGGCGCUGGAGAACGGCUUAGGGAAGGUAGCUAUACUUGUAUAGUGUUAUAGACCUUUGCUUGAAUACAGCGCUGGCGACUGAGGGCGGCGACACAGGCUUUCGGGCUGAGUCUUGGUCAUCGGGAAUGUGUUGGCGACAGUGCAGGCUGCUUGCAGACUGCAGUGUUUGCCGGUGCAUUCGUGGUGGCGGGCAUCACUGUGUUUCGGAUGUUGACGAAAUGGCUUUAUACGACCCGUCUUGAAACACGG